AACCCGGCGGGGCGGGGCCGCGGCGCUCCAGGGGCGGGGCCUGGCCCUCGGGGGCGGGGCCGGGCGGGGCGAGCGCUUCAGGCCUCCUCCCGACCCUGUGCCGUGCCCAGCCCCUCUGCCCUCCCAUUACCCCCGGACCUCGGGCCGCCAGCCCCUUCCACGUCCAGGCUCCUACUGCUCUCGCGGGAGCUUUUCGUAUGUCCCCCGAGAUGUCGAGGAAGCCAGGUGAGUUUCUCGCGACAGGCGGUGCCCUUUGCAGGAGGGGACAGGUAGCUGAGGCGUGGACAGAGUGACAGGCCAGGCUCAGGGGACACAGGUGAGACCCCCUCACUGGGCUGCCAGUUCCCGGGCUUGGGGCAUCCCAGGACGUCAGCGUCUGCGGCCUUACCUCCUGACACCUAAGGCCAGAGACAGAGCAGACCCGCGCCCUGGGAGGUCCUGAUGUCCAGCCUGAAGGUUGAGGGCAAAGCCACCACCUUUCACAAAACGAGGCCAGACCAUCUGCCUCCCUCCAGUCCCUGAGGCCUGGAGACCGAGUCAACAUUCUUAUCUGUGUUGGAUCUGAAUGUUCCUCCUUGCAAAAGAAAACAAGGAGUGGACGUUCAGGCUGAUGGCCAGCUUCAAAGACUGGGGCCUUUGAUUCCCAUCACUGGGAAGAAGGCCCUUUAGAGAAGCCCCCCAGGCUGCAGGUGCAUGGGGACCUUGAAGAACCCGUCUCCACGGUCCCACGUCCAUGUGUCUCGAGACCUGUCGCAUCCUCGCUGAAACUCAAGAACGUGAAACAGGUGAAGAGUCCAGCUCUCCCACGGGUGGCUGUGAUCCUUCUUCCUGGGGAGUCCUGCUGUCCCUGACCAGGGGUACCUGCCCACCUGUCAGCUGUUCCUCCCUCGGCUGGUCCUCCUGGGCUCUGAUGGCCCCAACAUUUCUAGCUCUUCUCACCCAUAGUGCCCCAAGCUUCAUGCAGCUGCAGCAGGUACUAUGCCCAUCUGCCUGGCUGUUGUGUGUUUGUGUCUCGACUCUAUAACCCGUGCACACGGACAGGGCUGUGGUGUAGUGGGGAUGGCAGGAGCCCUGGGAACGUGCGGGCUGGGCAAGGUGAGACAGGCUGAUUGCUGUGGCUCCCCAACCACCAGCCCCAGCCACAACAAACUGACAAAGAGGACAGUGGUGCCCUGGAGCCCUGGGGUCAGAGAGAGGAGGACAAAGCAGGUGUGUAGCCCAGAGAAUGAUACCACCCCUUCUGAGAAGACAGGGAGGGUGCAGACAUGGCAUGAACAGGACAUCCUGCAGCCAGAGCCAGGUUCUGAGCUAGAAAACUGUCAGCAGGGGGCUGAAGCUGAGGAUAGUCAUUGCCAAGGAACAGCCUCCAUCACAGAGAAGACGCUUGCACAGAUGCGGUGACGAGGGAGGGAUGAGGGGCUGGUGACCGCUGGGAACAGGUGUGUGAGGCAGAGUCUCCAGGCAUGGUCUGUGGGGUGGUUUGAUGAUACUAGGACAUCUCUCAGAGUAGAAGGACGUCCCAACCUGCAGACUGGAAAGCCCCCUGAGCCCCCGGCAGGAUGUAUGAGGGCCAGCCCACACCCGGGUCCGUCCUGAUACAACUCCUGAACGCCACAGUGUCUUAGCUCCUUUACUGUUGCUAUCAAGAAAUACCUGAGGCUGGGCAAUUUAUGAAGAAUCAUGAUGUAAUUUGUAUAUUUGUCCCCACUAAACCCCCAAGGUUGGAGGUGGCUGGGCCAUAGGGGUGGAUUUCUCAGGAAUGUUUAGCACCAUCCCCUUGGUGCUGUCCUUGAGAUAGUGAGUUCUCCUGAGAUCUGGUUAUUUAAAAGUGUGGGGCACCUCUCUCUCUCGCUCACUCGCUUGCUCGCUCCUGCCCUGGCCAUGUCACGUGCCUGCUCCCCCAUUGCCUUUCACCAUGAUCGGAAGCUUCCAGAGGCCUCCCCAGAAGCUGAGCAGAGGCCAGCACCAUGCCUCCUGUAAAGCCUGCAGAACCAGGUGCCAAGUAAACCUCUUUUCAUUAUUUAUUUAUUUAUUUAUUUAUUUAUUUUGACACAGGGUCUCGCUCUGUUGCCCAGGCUGGAGUGCAGUGGCGUGAUCUCGGCUCACUGCAACCUCUGCCUCCUGGGCUCAGGUGAUCCUCUCACCUGACCCUCCUGAGUAGCUGGGACUACAGGCACAUGCCACCAUGCCUGGCUAAUUUUUCAUAUUUUUUGUAGACAUGGGGUCUUACUGUUGCCCAGACUGGUCUCAAACCCCUGAGCUCAAGUGAUCCAUCCACCUUGGCCUUCCGGAGUGCUGGGAUCACAGGCAUGAGCUACCGUGCCUGGCCCUCUUUUCUUUUAAAAUUGCCCAGUCCUAAGUAUUUCUUUAUAGCAAGGCAACCACAGCCUAACACAGCUUAUGAUGCUGAGGUCUUGAAAGUUCAAGAUCAGGCGUCUGCCUCGGGUGAGGGCCUUGCUGCCGCUGCCUCCACUCAUGGCAGAAGGUGAAGGGGAGCUGGAGUAUGUGGAGAUGGUGUGCGAGAGGGAGCCGGAGUGUGUGGAGACGGUGUGCGAGAGGGAGCCGGAGUGUGUGGAGACGGUGUGCGAGAGGGAGCCGGAGUGUGUGGAGACGGUGUGCGAGAGGGAGCCGGAGUGUGUGGAGACGGUGUACGAGAGGGAGCUGGAGGAGUAGGGAAGUACAGGCCUUUUUUUUUUUUUUUUUUAAGAUGGAGUCUCGCUCUGUUGCCCAGGCUGGAGCACAAUGGCGCAAUGCCGGCUCACUGCAACCUCCGCCUCCCGAGUUCAAGCGAUUCUCCUGCGUCAGCCUCCUGAGUAGCUGGGAUUAGAGGCAUGCGCCACUAUUCCCGGCUAAUUUUUGUAUUUUUGUAGAGACAGGGUUUCACCAUGUUGGUCAGGCUGAUCUCAAACUUCUGACCUCGUGAUCCGCCCGCAUUGGCCUCCCAAAGUGCUGAGAUUACAGGCGUGAGGCACCGCGCCUGGCCGUGCAGGCAUUUUUAAAAGCACCUCUUGCUGGAACUAGUAAGAGUGAAAACUCACUCAUUACCAAGAGGACAGCACCAAACCAUUCGUGAGGAAUCCGCCCCCAUGACCCAGACACCUCCAACAGUGGGGCUCAGAUUUCAACCUGAGGUUUGAAGGGGACCAACACCCAAACUAUAGCAACAGGGAAAGAGAAAAGUUUACGGAUACCCAUUUAGAAAGAAUCUGCUAACAAAGGGAAAGAAUCAGGCUGGGCGCGGUGGCUCACGCCUGGAAUCCCAGCGCUUUGGGAGGCCAAGGUGAGUGGAUCACCUGAGGUCAGGAGUUUGAGACCAGCCUGGCCAACAUGUGAAACCCUGUCUCUACUAAAAAUGCAAACAUUAGCCAGGCGUAGUGACGUGCACCUGUAGUCCCAGCUAUGCAGGAGGCCAGGCAAGAGAACUGCUGGAAUUCGUGAGGCAGAGGUUGCAGUGAGCCGAGAUCCUGCCACUGCACUCCAGCCCAGGCAACAAGAUCAAGACUCUGUCUCAAAAACAAACAAACAACAACAAAAGGAAAGAAUCAGACUGGCUUGGGGCUCUGCUGUCACCUGCCCGUGACCUCCCAAAAGCGUGUGUUAGAGACUGACCUGCCUAGUGCGUCAGUGGAGGGGGCACUUUGGAGAGGGGCUUGGAUCGUGAGGCCCCGCCCUCGUGAAUGGCUCAGUACCUUGUGAAAGGGCCUGAUGGAGGGAGUUUGGUCCCUUUUCCCCUUUUGUCUCUCUGCCAUGUGAGGACACCACGUUCCUCCCCUCUGGAGGACACAGUAACAAGCUGUCAUCUCGGGAGGAGACACUGGGCCCUGACCAGACGCUGAACCUGCCAGCACCUUCAUCUUGGACUUUCCAGCCCCCAGAACUGUGAGAAAUAAAUUUCUGUUCUUUAUAA